GAACUUAGGUUAAUACAAACCAGGGGCCUUCAAAGCCCCAGACAAGCUAACAUGCUUAGUCCCUG
rnacentral:tRNA from 1 species